GAUGAACGCUGGCGGCGUGCUUAACACAUGCAAGUCGAGCGAAGCGCUUUGGUUAGAUUCUUCGGAUGAAGACCUUUGUGACGGAGCGGCGGACGGGUGAGUAACGCGUGGGUAACCUGCCUCAUACAGGGGGAUAACAGUUAGAAAUGACUGCUAAUACCGCAUAAGACCACAGUACCGCAUGGUACAGGGGUAAAAACUCCGGUGGUAUGAGAUGGACCCGCGUCCUAUUAGCUAGUUGGUGAGGUAACGGCUCACCAAGGCGAUGAUAGGUAGCCGGCCUGAGAGGGUGAACGGCCACAAGGGGACUGGAGACACGGGCCCUUACUCCUACGGGAGGCAGCAGUGGGGAAUAUUGGACAAU
rnacentral:rRNA from 1 species